rnacentral:lncRNA from 10 species
UUUUAGUAGUAGGACUAACAGAACAAAAACGAUCUCUCAGUAAACUUGUGACUGCACUUCCCUGACACAAAGUUACCAUCCACGAAUCUUGAUAAUUCAUAAUCCAAUGGAGUAAAUCCUAUGCCAUUUAGAAAGGGGCCUUUAAGGGCUUCACUUGUAAAUUUGUGAAAUGAUCAAUGGCUGCCUGUCAUUUAUUUAUCCUGCUGUACUAUCAGCAUUACCUUUACAAAACAACUGAUGGCUGAAACUGGAUCCCUUCCUUACACCUUAUACAAAAAUUAAUUCAAGAUGGAUUAAAGACUUAAAUGUUAGACCUAAAACCAUAAAAACCCUAGAAGAAAACCUAGGCAAUACCAUUCAGGACAUAGGCAUGGGCAAGGACUUCAUGUCUAAAACACCAAAAGCAAUGGCAACAAAAACCAAAAUUGACAAAUGGGAUCUAAUUAAACUAAAGAGCUUCUGCACAGCAAAAGAAACUACCAUCAGAGUGAACAGGCAACCUACAGAAUGGGAGAAAAUUUUUGCAACCUACUCAUCUGACAAAGGGCUAAUAUCCAGAAUCUACAAUGAACUCAAAGAAAUUUACAAGAAAAAAAAAACCUAUCAAAAAGUGGGCGAAGGAUAUGAACAGACACUUCUCAAAAGAAGAC